AAAAAAGGAGCUUAAAGUUGUCGUGAUGAAAGAAUGUUUCUCAUUGGCUUGAGCCUUAUGACGUCAUGAAAUUUGACGACCCAUGGUUUCAACCACCAUGAAUCCAAUGUGUCAUGGCUGCUGUGCUGUUAAGAUAACCGUGUGUUUACGUUGUUUGCGGCUCAGGUUUUUCAUCGAUUUUCCUUUUAAUUAAUCUUUUUAACAGCUCCGACUGUAAAUGACUCAGUUCUGAGUCGAACUCGAAACGUCUCGGCUUUUUUAAUUGUGUGUUUCCCGUUGGUUCCCCCUUGUUUUUCUACUGUUAAGUUGCUUGCGUUGUGUGUGCCGGGUUGUUUUCCUUCAGAUUUUCUUGUGAACUGUUUCUGUUUUUGUGUGAAAAAUGCCACCACGGCAGCCGGACGAAGGAUUUGAAAAAGGCGACAGCCGCAAUUUGCCUCCUGUGAGCGCUGUAACCUUGGCAAAUUUUUUCUCCACGGAGGAUUUUGUUAUCUAUGAACCUGAAGUCAGGCAUGAUAAAACUGAACGUUCUACCAGAGAAGCAUACGGGGAUAAGGCAGUAGGCUUUGUCCAAGUUAAAAGAGCGGAUGGAAAGUGCCAUGUGAAAGCCUGCGUUACUCCGGAGCAUAAGGUGAAAGCCCCUCCCUAUAAUGUCCACUGCAUUGUUGACGAAAAGGAGGAGGAAAUUGUGAAAGCAUACUGCGAUGACUGUGCAGCGAGUGAAGGUUGCUGUAAGCAUGUCGUUGCCUUAGUUGCUUGGCUUCAUCGCAGGUACGAAGAGCCUUCCCCAACCUCCAUUACUGCCUACUGGAAAAAAUCGACACUGUCCAAAAUUGGAACCGACAUCAAAAUUAAGGCAGUCGCUGAAAUGGUCCCUCCUAAGAAUGUUAGGAGUUCAGCAAAUGUAAGUGAGGAAUCCAAGGCGCUUUUUUUGCUUCGUGUUCAAAAAUUUCCCUUGCGAAUUGUCAGCAGUCUCUCCUGUCUAUGUCUAUUGCACCCUUUCAAUCGUAUUCGAUUCACCAUUUACUUAAUUCUUACAAGCAAACUCCACAACCUCAUUCCGCUCCUCGCUUCUUACUUUACUGCCAAAGACAAAUGAAUCAGGAAACUUGUGACACCAUUGAAAUCCAGACUAGAUUGCAGUCUAAGUGUAGCUUGUGGCACGAUCUUCAUUACGGUCGUUUGACUGCCUCAAAGAUUCAUGAGGCAGCUCACUGUCAUACUGAAGAUGGUUCAUUCAUUAAAGGAUUGCAAGGUGCUCGUAAAAUAAAAACGAAAGCUAUGGAGCGUGGUCUUGAUUUGGAAAAAGAUGUUUUGGAGGUUGUCGGUAAAACUUUAUCAUGCAAGAUUUCUCCUUGCGGUUUAGUUUUGAGACGAGAAAAUCCCCAUCUUGGUGCUUCUCCUGAUGGUAUAUCAAAGCGCCAUGUGUUUGAAGUCAAGUGUCCUGUGUCGGAUAAAACUUUCCAAACCUACUUUACCAAAGAUUUUUCAGCCCCUUCUGAGAAAUAUUUAGAGCAGAUUAUGCACAAAUGUUCCUUUGUAAAAAAAAGAAAGGCUAUUUUUGUGUUGCUCACCCAAAUUUUAAGAAGUCGAAGUCUGUCAAAAUUUUAUCAGUAGAUUUUGAUGCAGAAAGGUAUCAUGAAAAAAGGCGGCGUGGAACUUUGUAUUGGAUGAAACAUGUUUACCCAAAACUUUACGCAAGUGCCUAGGGCAUUCAAAGAGAGUUGUAGCCACAAUUGCCGACUGAAAUAUGAACAGUAUUUAUCCCUUAAGAAAAUGUGCAACUUGGCGUUCAAAACGCUUCCAUGACUCUACAAUUAAAUUAAACCUUUUAGCCAAAUAUACGGUAGUCAUAGUUGACGCCCUCCUGUAAAAACCGAUCUUUAAUUUUAAUUUGUGCAAGCUGUCGCGGAUUGAUCAUGCAAUCAAAGUGUGAUGCCAUAGCAGAAAUAAUGGACUUGUUUCACUUUUCCUUUCUCAAGUGGCCUUGAAAUUAAGUUAACCAACCAUUCUAAUUUUAUGUGAUGUAU
rnacentral:lncRNA from 1 species